UUUAAAAUGAGAGUUUGAUCCUGGCUCAGGACGAACGCUGGCGGCGUGCCUAAUACAUGCAAGUCGAACGAAACUUUCUUACACCGAAUGCUUGCAUUCACCGUAAGAAGUUGAGUGGCGGACGGGUGAGUAACACGUGGGUAACCUACCUAAAAGAAGGGGAUAACACUUGGAAACAGGUGCUAAUACCGUAUAUCUCUAAGGAUCGCAUGAUCCUUAGAUGAAAGAUGGUUCUGCUAUCGCUUUUAGAUGGACCCGCGGCGUAUUAACUAGUUGGUGGGGUAACGGCCUACCAAGGUGAUGAUACGUAGCCGAACUGAGAGGUUGAUCGGCCACAUUGGGACUGAGACACGGCCCAAACUCCUACGGGAGGCAGCAGUAGGGAAUCUUCCACAAUGGACGCAAGUCUGAUGGAGCAACGCCGCGUGAGUGAAGAAGGUCUUCGGAUCGUAAAACUCUGUUGUUAGAGAAGAACACGAGUGAGAGUAACUGUUCAUUCGAUGACGGUAUCUAACCAGCAAGUCACGGCUAACUACGUGCCAGCAGCCGCGGUAAUACGUAGGUGGCAAGCGUUGUCCGGAUUUAUUGGGCGUAAAGGGAACGCAGGCGGUCUUUUAAGUCUGAUGUGAAAGCCUUCGGCUUAACCGGAGUAGUGCAUUGGAAACUGAAAGACUUGAGUGCAGAAGAGGAGAGUGGAACUCCAUGUGUAGCGGUGAAAUGCGUAGAUAGUAUGGAAGAACACCCCUGGCGAAAGCGGCUCUCUGGGCUGUAACUGACCCUGAUGAUCCAAAGCCUGCGGUAGCGAACACGAUUAGAUUCCCAGGUAGUCCACGCCCUAAACAAUG
rnacentral:rRNA from 2 species